CGAAUCAAUAUAGUUUGAUAAUUAUUAUUUUACGGUUUUGUUUUGAUUAUUAAUUAUUUGUUUUUUGAAAUUAUUUUUUUGUUGGUGUAUUUUUUUGGGAUUUAAUUGUUUUUGUUAUAGUUAAUUUGUACUGUGAGGGAAUAAUUACAUAUAUAUAUUUAAUUUAUUUAAAGUUAUUUUUAUUUAUUGUACCUUGUGUAUCAGGGUUUAUUUAAGUCAUUUUCUUUAUUUUGAUUAAUCUCGAUUUUAAGAGAGUUAAGGAUUUAUAUUGUUUGUUGUUUAAUAAUCAUCAAUAAUAAUUCUUUAGUGGUGAAAUGUCAUUCGGUCUUGAUUGUAUCUAGUUUGUUCAGAAAUGAAUUUAAUUCAUGUUGUUAUUUAUUGUGUAUUUUAUUUAUUAAUUUGCAUUAAUUAUUACUAAUAUUUAGGGGGAUUAGCUCUUUUGUUUAAUUUUAUAAGGUUUAUGUUUAAUUUUAAUUAAGUGGAUUUGGAGGUGAUUAUUUUUUAGAUUAUGUUGAAAUUUUAUUAAUUUAUUUAUUGAUUUUUAUUCUUUUAAGUUUUUUAUGAAUUGUUUAUAUGGAAUUUUGUUUUUAUGGUAAUUAUGAUGGAAUUAGUAUAUAUGUAUUAUUAAUUGAUAUUAUAUUGUUAGGUUAUAAUAAGGAAUUAGGCAAAUAUUUUUCCGCCUGUUUAGCAAAAACAUCUUUUCUUGUCUAUUUGGGAAGUAUGACCUGCCCACUGAUUUUUUUGAAGGGCCGCGGUAUUUUGACCGUGCAAAGGUAGCAUAAUCAUUAGUCUUUUAAUUGAAGGCUUGUAUGAAUGGUUAGACGAGAUAAAUACUGUCUUAUUAUUAUUUAUUGAAUUUAAAUUUUGAGUUAAAAAGCUUAAAUGAUUUUUUGGGACGAGAAGACCCUGUAGAGUUUAAUAUUUGAUUUUGUUGUUUUGUUGGUUACAUUGGUUUUGCAAUUGUUUAUUUAUUUUAUUGGGGUGAUAGGAAGAUUACAUUAACUCUUUUUUUUUGUUUAUUAAUUUAUAAACUGUUGAUCCAUAAUUUUGUGAUUAUAAGUUAAAAUUACCUUAGGGAUAACAGCGUAAUUUUUUUUGAGAGUUCUUAUCGACAAAGGAGAUUGCGACCUCGAUGUUGGAUUAAGAUUUAAAUUGAAUGUAGAAGUUCAUUAAUUAGGUCUGUUCGACCUUUAAAAUCUUACAUGAUCUGAGUUCAGACCGGCGUGAGCCAGGUCGGUUUCUAUCUAAAAGUUAUUUUAUUGUUUUAGUACGAAAGGACCAAGUAAUAAGAAUAAUUCUUUUUUAUUGAUUAUUAGUAAUUUACUAUUUUGGCAGAUUAGUGCGGUGGAUUUAGAAUCUGAUUAUGUGGUUU
rnacentral:rRNA from 1 species